rnacentral:rRNA from 1 species
UACGUAGGGACCAAGCGUUGUUCGGAUUUACUGGGCGUAAAGGGCGCGUAGGCGGCUUAACAAGUCACUUGUGAAAUCUCCGGGCUUAACUCGGAACGGCCAAGUGAAACUGUCAAGCUAGAGUGCAGAAGGGGCAAUCGGAAUUCUUGGUGUAGCGGUGAAAUGCGUAGAUAUCAAGAGGAACACCUGAGGUGAAGACGGGUCGCUGGGCUGACACUGACGCUGAGGCGCGAAAGCCAGGGGAGCAAACGGG